GGGGGUGUCCCGGUUUCGACUGGCAUGAGUAAUCUUGUGUUGCAGGUGAGGCUGUCGCCUGGUCUCUGAUACAGACGAAAACAAUAACUGCUAAACGUAGAGAAGACUUCGAGUCUGAAGACGCUCAGCUCGCUCUCGCUGCUUAAGUGAGGCCGGAACUGGUACUGCGCUGUUCCUAGCAGUAUCUGCUUCUGUUGCUAAUAGGGACUUGCUGCAAGCUUUGCACAGGAAGCAUGUGGGACUUUCACUGUGAUACGGAGACGACGCCUUUGAAGCCGCUACCGUCUCUCGACAAAUACCUCGCUUCAAUAAACCUGUAGAGGCACCUGGUUAGCUUGCUAGGACAGGGGUUCAAUUCCCCUCACCUCCAA
rnacentral:tmRNA from 1 species